rnacentral:rRNA from 1 species
UACGAAGGUCCCAAGCGUUGUUCGGAAUCACUGGGUCGUAAAGGGAGCGUAGGCGGCUUUGCAAGUCGGGUGUGAAAUCCCCAGGCUUAACCUGGGAACUGCAUUCGAGACUGCAUUGCUAGAGUAUGGGAGAGGGAAGUGGAAUUUCCGGUGUAGCGGUGAAAUGCGUAGAUAUCGGAAGGAACAUCAGUGGCGAAAGCGACUUCCUGGACCAAUACUGACGCUCAUGUGCGAAAGCGUGGGGAGCAAACGGG